AAAUUGACCUCGGAUCAGGUAGGGAUACCCGCUGAACUUAAGCAUAUCAAUAAGCGGAGGAAAAGAAACCAACAGGGAUUGCCCUAGUAACGGCGAGUGAAGCGGCAACAGCUCAAAUUUGAAAUCUGGCCCUUUCAGGGUCCGAGUUGUAAUUUGUAGAGGGUGCUUUGGCGUUGGUUGUGGUCUAAGUUCCUUGGAACAGGACGUCACAGAGGGUGAGAAUCCCGUACGUGGCCGCCAGCCUCCGCCGUGUAAAGCCCCUUCGAUGAGUCGAGUUGUUUGGGAAUGCAGCUCUAAAUGGGAGGUAAAUUUCUUCUAAAGCUAAAUAUUUGCCAGAGACCGAUAGCGCACAAGUAGAGUGAUCGAAAGAUGAAAAGCACUUUGGAAAGAGAGUCAAAAAGCACGUGAAAUUGUUGAAAGGGAAGCGCUUGCAGCUAGACGUGCCUUUGGUUGAUCAGCCGGGCUUUUGCCCGGUGCACUCUUCCUUUGGCAGGCCAGCAUCAGUUUGGGCGGCUGGAUAAAGGUCUGUUAAACGUGACUUCCUUCGGGGAGAGCUUAUAGGGCAGACGACAUGCAGCCAGCCUGAACUGAGGUCCGCGCAUCUGCUAGGAUGCUGGCGUAAUAGCUGUAAGCGGCCCGUCUUGAAACACGGACCAAGGAGUCUAACAUCUAUGCGAGUGUUUGGGUGUCAAGCCCGAGCGCGUAAUGAAAGUAAACGGAGGUGGGAACCCUUUGGGCGCACCAUCGACCGAUCUUGAUGUCUUCGGAUGGAUUUGAGUAAGAGCAUAGCUGUUGGGACCCGAAAGAUGGUGAACUAUGCCUGAAUAGGGUGAAGCCAGAGGAAACUCUGGUGGAGGCUCGCAGCGGUUCUGACGUGCAAAUCGAUCGUCAAAUUUGGGCAUAGGGGCGAAAGACUAAUCGAACUAUCUAGUAGCUGGUUCCUGCCGAAGUUUCCCUCAGGAUAGCAGU
rnacentral:rRNA from 1 species